UAGUCCACACCGUAAACGAUGAGAGCUAGUUGUCUGCAGGCAUGCCUGUAGGUGACGCAGCUAACGCAUUAAGCUCUCCGCCUGGGGAGUACGGUCGCAAGAUUAAAACUCAAAGAAAUUGACGGGGGCCCGCACAAGCGGUGGAGCAUGUGGUUUAAUUCGAAGCAACGCGCAGAACCUUACCAGCCCUUGACAUCCCGAUCGCGGAAAUGAGAGAUUGUUUCCUUCAAUUCGGUUGGAUCGGUGACAGGUGCUGCACGGCUGUCGUCAGCUCGUGUCGUGAGAUGUUGGGUUAAGUCCCGCAACGAGCGCAACCCUUAUCGUUAGUUGCCAUCAUUAAGUUGGGCACUCUAACGAGACUGCCGGUGAUAAGCCGGAGGAAGGCGGGGAUGACGUCAAGUCCUCAUGGCCCUUACGGGCUGGGCUACACACGUGCUACAAUGGCGGUGACAGUGGGCAGCGACUUCGCGAGGAGGAGCUAAUCCCAAAAAACCGU
rnacentral:rRNA from 1 species